UAUGUACCUAUGUAUAUAUUAUUUGCACUUUUACACUAUUGGGAUCUCAAAGGUUCCUCGGACAGUUAAGGGUUCUAGAUUUCUAAAGAGGUUAUAUUUGGAAACUUUUCUGAAUGCGAAACCCGCAGUUGAAGGUUCCCCCAAAGAAAAAGAUUGUUCUAGGGUUCUCUAGGGUUUUGUUUUGGAAAACUCUUUGGUGUUGGGUUCUCAUGUUCUAGAUGUAACUUCUUUGCCUAAUAGUAUGCACUGCUACACUCCUUGUUCCUCAAGGGUUCUUUGGAUUGUUAAUGGUUCUAGCUUUCUGAAGAGUUUAUACUUGGAGCCCUCUGUUGCAGGGUUCUACACAGAACCUUUAUGGGUCGUUGCAAGCAUGUUUUCUAAUAGUAUAUACUCUUAUACUCCUAAAAAAUUGGUUCCUCAAGGGUUCUGCGGAUAAUUAAAUUCUUAUCUUCUUAAAGGAGUUUUACUUGGAACUCUCUCUGAAAGGAAAAGCCUCGGUUGUUGGGUUCUACUUAGAAGCCUUGCUCCUGGAUGAACAACCUGAAAACCUCUGUAAUGUUCUCUCUGUAACACUCCUAAGCUCCUACGAGUUCCUCCAGGUUUCUUUAGAUAGUUUGGAUAAUGGUUCUAAAUUUCUAAAGGUUUUAUACUUGGAGCCUUUUCUAAAACAGAAACUCUCAGUCACAGGGUUCUACACAGAACCUUUAAGAGGUCUAAAUUCUUACGGUAUUAGAGUCAACCUUGGAUUACGUUCCUGGAAAAAAAAGGUUCUUUAUAUAGUGAAGAUGGUUCUUAGCUUCUCAAAUGAGUUCUAUUUGGAAAAUGCAAUGCUCUGUUUUAGGGUUCUAGUGUUCUAGACUUUUAAAACAACCCUAGAAAAAAGGUUCUCCAAGGGUUCUUUGGAGAGUUAAUGGUUCUAGUUAAUGGUUUUUGAAGAGUUUACACUUGGAAACUGGUAGGAAAAACCCUUUGUUGCAAGAUUUUAGUUAGAACUUUUAAGAAGAACCUGUAAGAACCGUAUACAGAACAAACGCUACACUAACAGAGAUGAGGAACAGAGUGAACGCAGCUGUUCAACACUGCAGGACUCUUUUCUCCUUUCUGUCAUCUGUCUCACUCUCUCCUUCUUCUCAUCCCUAAUGCUCUCUUUCUUGGUGUAAAUGUGUCUACACAGUGGAGUUCUGGAGCAGGAGGGAUGGUGAGAGGGGACGGUGAGGGUGCAGGGUGAAAGCGGAGUGUAGAAACCUUCUCUCGUUCUCCCUCCCUCGUUCCUCCUCCCUCGUUCUCCCGUCCCCUCCCCCAUGAUGCCUUCCUCCGUUCCAGACAGUUGAAAAUGAGAAUGUUAACUGCUUGUGGACGGUGUUUAAGGAAAGCCAACGGGCAAAACAAGGCGUGCACCCGAGCGUGGAGUUCAGGCCCGCAAGCGCUGCUUCGUCAAACCACAGGAAGCUCAACAAUGAAAGUCUUUUACACAGCCCUGAUCUGGACCUUUUUACUUUUUUCCCUCUAGCAGGCUUAGGAAAUGCUCACGUCUCCAGAGACGUUAAAACCCACCACACUUUGAUCCCAAAGCCAGUUUCCAUUCUAAGAGUUUACUCUGGCUAAGACAUCCAUCUCAUCAUCCAUCACAUGCCUGCUACCUGACUAGCACCGCACCUGAGCACGUCACCAUUUCAGGCUGAGCACGACCUGGUCACAUGGGUGGUCCAAUCACCAGACGCUCACCUGCGGACACAGGAGUGAGUCCCGGUAACGCUACUCUGGGCAAGGUACACGUCCUCAGCAUGGCUAAUGCACAUUUGAUACUGUACUGUUCUGACUGUUGUGUACAAGUGCUCCAGUACUGCAGGUGGCGCUACUGAAAUCUCAUGACAGUUUCCAUGACAACAGGAAGACAAUUGACUCUGCAAAGUGCCAACAGCAUAAACAAAUGUUAGAACACGAGGACGAGGAAGAACUGCUUAUUUCGUUCCAUAUUUUCAAAGAGAAAAGAAAAAGAGGAAGAAGUGGUACAUGAGAUCACUAAUUAAAUAACUCGAGGGUUGAUGCUGAUGAGUUUAGCUAGCUACGGAAAUUUAUGCGAUGCUAAUUUGGCGCUCCUGUGAGCAAAAUCGCCGCAUGACGUCAGUUUGCUCCACGAUUAAAUCAUACGGUUUGUGGACGCACCUUUUUCCAUAAUAAUAUACAGUAUAAGUUCAUUUUUUCGUACUCUAAUAAAGGGUGCCAAUACUUUUGAAGUUGACUGUAUGUUAUUUUAAGGUUAUCUCCUAACCCAUUUAGAACCUGUUGAAUCUUUACUGAACAUGCUGAUAACAACCAUAACUCUGUUAGCUAAUGUGUAACGGAAGUCUUUAUUAGAAGCAAUAUUUACUAAUUUAACUUCUGCAGAGGGGGGGUGUGGCCUACGGUGGUGGGCGGAGUCUUACCAAGCUGCGGUAAGGAAGAAAGUGAUUCCGGCUGCCGAGGAUGAUGGACGUCUUAACAAAAUAACGUUAGAGUGUUGAGCUGCAUGAUGAGGUUGUGGUUUCCACACCGAUGUGUACGGCGCUGCUGAAUCCUGGAUUGUGAUUGGUCAGGAGGAGGAUUGUGAUUGGUCAGGAGGAGGAUUGUGAUUGGUCAGGAGGUGUUGAUUAAUUUUCUAUAACAGCAGCUCUGACAGUAGUGCAGCUGCAAAACACAGGUUUAUAUUAAUGCGCUUGUAUGUAUCUAAUGCCAUUGUUUAAAGUGUGUUUGCAUUUCUCUUCAAAGGAUGAUCCUAUUUGCAUCAGAACAUCUGUAGAAGUGUGUGUGUGUGUGUGUGUGUGUGUGUGUGUGUGUGUGUGAGAGAGAGAGAGAGAGAGAGAGAGAGGAAUUAGCCUGUAGGUGUGUCAUCAUAUGAACAGUUCUCAUGUGGGAAAUUCUGAAACUGUGAUGUUCCAUGGAAAUGUGUGUGUGUGUGUGUGUGUGUGUGUAUUUGUGUGUGUGUGUGUGUGUAUGUGUGUAUGUGUGUGUGUGUGUGUGUGUGUGUCCUGAAGGCGAAGUGAACCCUUCAAUGACUCUUGCUUUGAUCUUAGCCAGUGGUCUGAAUCUGUUUGAGUUGCCAACCAGCCCAUCGCACACACUCACACUCACACACACACACACACACACACACACACACUUUGCUCUCUACAUAUUUACACACCAGAGCUCUUCCCAUAGCACUAACCCAUCCCAGUUUUACUUACACACACACACACACACACACUUUUAUUUCAUUUACCCAGACCGCAGCGCUCUGGUUUCUGACUGCAUUAAAAAAUUUGCAUGAGCUUCAUCCAGCUGCAGCUUCAUCCAAACACACACCCACCCACACACACACACACACAGCCACACACACACACACACACACACAUCACUAACUUGCAUAUCAGGAUUCACUCUUAAACCCGAGAUUCCAAUCCAACAUUCUCCAGAAAACCCCAAAUUUAUCAUGUUCAGCCUGUCAGGUCUUUGACAGAACAUUACAAAGCUCAUGAUAUUAAAAUAUUAAAAUAAAAUAUAUUUUAUUGGGGAAAAAACAUGAAUUUAAAGAAACAGUUUGGCUAAAAAUAUAAUGCAAACGUUUCCCCCUUUCCCCAAAUGUUCUCGAUUAGCCGAGACAUGCUCGGUGUGUGAUGUUUGUUGUGUUUAAGGUUAGAAAAACGUUUUCUGAACGUUAUCCUUUGGCUCUAAAAGCUGUCAGGUUUUCUGAGAAAGUUCCUACAUAAUGUUUAUAAACGUUCCUACAACGCUGCUGCAACGUUUCCGUCAUGUUCCCUUGUGUGUAACGUUAUUCUAAGAAAUAGUGCCGUUAUUAAAACGUUGCAAGAAUGUUAUUCUAACGUUACCUCCUUACUCUUUUGAAACUUUACUGAACAUCUGGAUAACUUUCUCUGUCAGCACAAAUAUGGUAGCAGAUUAGAAGCAACAUUUACAAAUUUAAGUUCACAAUGAAUCUGUAUUAUUAUCAGUAUAACUUUGGGGGUGUGGCUUGGAGGGGGGGGCGGAGUCAUUCCAAACUGCAAUAUGUGAUUCCAGUUGUUCAUAAAUAAUGAAUAAUUUUCAGCUACACGUUUGCGGUUUUGUUCAUGUUUUGUACAUUCGAAGUUGUAGCUUGUCUAGAUUGCUAACUACUUAGCUAGCUUGUUGCAGAGUAAUGCUGAUUUUUUAUUUUUUUUGCAAGUUUGUUUGUUAAAUAUUAUUUUCUCGCUCCGGUUUAUGUUUAGAAACCAUGUUGUUCACUCGUGUUAGCAAACAUAGUACGCUAGUUCUGUUAGCGUCAAGUUCUGUAACGGAAUGUGUUCCAUUACCAUGUGGUCAUGCGCUAAUACUUUGCAUAUCAAACCUGAUUGGUUCAAGCUGUUAAGUACGAUUUGUGACAUCACACUAACGAGCUUCAUAUGAGGUCAUGCAGCUACAUCCAGAUGUUAUAGAUGAAGUAUGUAUUGUCACCUCAUUAAAAUGGGAAUCUGGAAUCCUUCUAGGAAAAAUGAAGUUAUUGGAUCGUUGAGUUGGUGCUUGUCCUUAUUUUCUGUUCUAAUGCACACAGCAAGAACCUAUCCGAGAUCAUGCGAAAAGGAAUUCUGAUGAAACGCUGAAUGUGUUCGGAAUAUUUCUGUGUUUUUGUAGCAGUCUCCAAAUCUGCGUACGUGUUUGAACAAAGGUUUAUUGGCGACUAUCAUUCUCCUAAUUCGCUUUAUGUGAGUGGGUGUGAGCGUGUGUGUGUGUGUGUGUGUGUGUGUGUGUGGGCGAGCAGGUGAUGUGGCCUUGACCGGAAGGUCAUAGAAAGCCGUCAGUUCCUUUUUCCUCUCCGGAUAUUCCCAGCAUUCUCUUGCCAGUAUCGCGGGUUGGGAACGCUGGGAAUCUGCAGGACAGGAAGCCGGAACAGGAACGCCGCCGCUCCAGGCAGAAACUCCUCGUUCUGCCCUGAUCUCAGAACAGACUCCUUUAUCCAAACCCUGACCUCAGAUAUUAACACACUGAGCUGUGAGGUGGGAUGAGAGAGACAGACAAUACUGACCCCCAGUGGACAGAGCCGAGAUUACAGCGGUCAGAACAUUAACGCCAUUUUAAACUAUUAAAACAAAUUUAUGCAGAAUAAUAAACUGUUUAGUGUUUUUCUAAUGGCAGAGGAACAUCUCUACACCUUCAUGCUCAUUACAAUGGCAGCAUUUAUGAAUAUUCAUGAAUAUGCAAAUUAGAAACAUAUCAGUAUCCUCCUGCCAGCCUUUAUGGCCUAGCUAGUCAGUUGGCUAACUUAGCUAGUCAGUCGGCUAACUGCUAACAAACUAGCUGACAUUUAUCAGUGGGAUUUACAGAUUUACAUCCGUAAUGUCUCACUGAUUUAUUUAAUAACAGCCAAAUAUAUAAAUAAAACUGUUCAUCAUUAGCUAUCAUUAGUUACGUUUUUUCUUGCUAACUUGCUAGCUAGAUUCUUCAGCUAAAAGUUUCCAUCGUCAUCCUCUAAUAAUUUGCAUAUCAGACGUGAUAGGCUCACACCAUUGAGCGUGUUAAGUGACAUCACUAAGCAAGUUCAUACAUAGCCCCGCCCCCAAAUCAUUGCAAUGAUAUACACUAUAGGGGAAAAUACUUUAUUUUAUUCAACAUAAAGACAUAUUUUUGUUUAUUCGUUUGUUGUGUUUUAUUUAUUUAAACUCAUUAAACACCCAGGUGCGUAGCUUCACUAUGUAUUAACACUUAUAACACCUUUAAUAUGUUUUAUUGUUGUCUCUCAUACAGCAUGUUAACGAUGAAGGUCAUGUGAGCAAGUUUGAGUGAAUUUCCAACAGUAUAUUUAAUAUUUAAUAUUUUA